AAUGCUUUUAAAUCUCACAAUUCCAAGGUUCAAGAGAGAAUGAAGUGUAAACUUUACAGUGUAAGCCUGCCUGGCUGCCUUCUUUUCAGGAGGGUGCGCCACCUUAACUGCUCUAUAAAAUGAGCUCACAUGGAGACUGCUACCUUCACAAUCACAGAUCUUGUCAGUGACUGUAAAAGAGAGGCCCAAACCAUCUACAUGGCAGUAUUUUACUUAACAUUUUCUAUAUCUAGCAUAGUAAUCCUAACAGUAAACCUAACAGUCAAAAACAAAGUCAGAUUUGAAUCCAUGGUGUGCCUAGGUUUUGUUUAAUUAGAUUGCGGUUGCUUAAACAGUCCUUUAGAAAUGAUUAUAUAAACUGACUCCAAAGAACAACAUCAGAAUAAAAACAAAGUACUGGUUUCACCCUAGAAAAAGAACCAUAAAGUCCACGUAGUUAUAAAAGUAUUACUGUCCAGUCCAUUUAAAGAUACCUACACUUGCCACGCAGCCAUGUAUAAUCUUUGACAAAGGACGGCUUUACACGUUCUUGGGACAAUAAUUAUGGCUGUUGGUUUAGUUCAAGAGCAUAGCAUUGACUUCCCAAAAGUGUUGGCCUUUUCACAGCCAGCAGUCUGCUAUAGAGACUAACGAAAGCCCCAUUCCAAGAAAUGGAGUCUUCUUUAAUUCUUUCCCACGGGGAAGAAUGGGUACCUAUCAAAUUAUAUGUGGUCAGGGUCACUGGUCAUAAAUAAAUAAAUAAAUAAAUAAAUACAGAGGGAACUGGGGAAAGGAUACUCAAGAAACUACAAUAUGCAGAACAAGGUUCAGUCCUGAGCCUGACUCUGUACCACAAGGUUUGGGUACAACAUAGAUGUACCCAGACCAGUUUUUCCUUUCAGCUCUGUGGCUUAUCUGGGAGGAAGGCUUAACUGCUUAACUGGAUCUGCCUCCCAAAAAAUCAACUACACAUGGAGAUCACCUAUUCUAGACGCUAUGCAUGCUAAGGACUUAGAGCGGCAGGCAACCUUUGACUUGGUGAUUACUCACUGAUCAAAAUGAAAACAAAAUAGUCAAUUUGUAGGAACUACUGGAACAGUAACAUUUACCAGUAUUGUUACCACAAUUCAUAUGGAGUCACCUUACUGUGAAAAUUACUUUCUGGUUUUAGCAUGCAGCAUAAAUGACCUUUCAUCCUGAGAACACCUUUUUACUGAGUGUUCACAAGAGAGAGAGAACUAAAGACAUAACAGCUCAUAGGUAUUUUUUUCUUUUUAGUAUUCCAGCAAACUUAAAAGUUGUAUACACUUCAAUACCAUCUCAUCAGAAAAACAAGAUUUAAAAGUUUUCACAGCCUUUUCAGUAAAGGGGAGGAAAAGAGGAAAUGUGUGUAUUUGCUACUUUGCAACUGCUUGCCACAUCAGUCUAAGUGCUUAUCAGGACACUUCGUGUUGUGCCUGAGGAGGUCAGAGAUGUUUACCCAGUACUAAUAUAUGCCUGAAGUGGUCAAUUAACACUCUCCAUAAAUGUUUUUCUAAAAGUAUGGUUUUAACUUUAAUGGCUACAACUAACCAACAUGCAAAAGUUCUCAGACUACACAGAAACUGAUCAUACAAUGCAUUGACCACCUUACUGCAUUUUAAAAGUCUUUAUUCUGUACUGAACUGUAUUCCCAAUCAGCCUAAGCAAAGGUAUGCCCUUAAUACAGGAUCUGCUUAGAGCAGAGGUGACAAAGACAGGAAGAAUCUGAAGACUGUCUGCAUGGCCACCUGGGAACAGAACAGGUUGAGUCACAAGUGACUGUCACAUAACUCACCCAGUGACAAGUGAGCUGCUCCCUUUCUAUCUAUCCAUUCAGGGCAUAAGUGCACAAAUGCACCUGCCCAGAGUUGAGUAAGAACCCUCUUUACAGGGCACUCUUCCAAACAAAUAAAUAUCUAAAUAAUGAAAGGGGCAAAUCAGAAAACUUGAAAACAGAAACUAAAACCGUCUUCAAACACAACAGACAAUGUUUAUGAUAAGUUCACUCCAAACACUUGCUAGUUUUUCUUGCAGUUUGUUCCUAAGGGUUUGAUUUUUUUUUAUUUUAUUUUAUUGGGCACAACAGGAACUAAAUUAUUAAUAAAAUAAAGGCGUGUUUAUUUUUAUCUUGCCGUGGAUAAUUUGUACAAAGUUUCCAAAUCUCUGAAACAGUGGGAUAUGGGUCUUGUACGGUGGGAGCAGGAUGUCAGGUGCUAAUGAGAAUAUCUCAAUGGUUUGUCUGCUAUGUGCUUUUUGUGAGUGCCCAUGCUGGGAAAAUGGUCUUGGUAACAUGAAGAUGCUGGUGCACUUUUCCUAGUACACAACUUCUUAAACAACCACAUGCGUU
rnacentral:lncRNA from 1 species